rnacentral:SRP_RNA from 1 species
GCAGGGCGGGGUGAUGCAUGCCUGUAGUCCCAGCUACUCGGGAGGCUGAGGCAAGAGGAUCCCUUGAUCCCAGGAGUUCUGGCUAUAGUCUUCUCUGCUGAUCAGGUGUCCACGCUAAGUUCACUAUCAAUAUUGCAACCUCCCGGGAGCAGGGGACCCCAGGUUGCCUAAGGAGGGGUGAACUAGCCCAGGAUGGAAACAGACCAGGUCAAAACUCCCUUGCUGAUCAGUAGUGGAUCCCUGUGAAGAGCCCCUACACUCCAGGCUGGACAACAUAGUGAGACCCUGUCUCU